AACCUCCGCAAUGUGAGAAAUCGCGACGGGGGGAUCCCAAGUGCCAUUCUUAACGGGAUGGCUUUUCAUUAGUGUAAAGAGCUUUUGGAAUAAGGGCUGGGCAAGACCGGUGCCAGCCGCCGCGGUAACACCGGCAGCUCUAGUGGUAGCAGUUUUUAUUGGGCCUAAAGCGUCCGUAGCCGGUUUAAUAAGUCUCUGGUGAAAUCCUGUAGCUUAACUGUGGGAAUUGCUGGAGAUACUAUUAGACUUGAGACCGGGAGAGGUUAGAGGUACUCCCAGGGUAGAGGUGAAAUUCUGUAAUCCUGGGAGGACCGCCUGUUGCGAAGGCGUCUAACUGGAACGGUUCUGACGGUGAGGGACGAAAGUUAGGGGCGCGAACCGGAUUAGAUACCCGGGUAGUCCUAACUGUAAACGAUGCGGACUUGGUGUUGGGGUGGCUUUGAGCUGCUCCAGUGCCGAAGGGAAGCUGUUAAGUCUGCCGCCUGGGAAGUACGGUCGCAAGACUGAAACUUAAAGGAAUU
rnacentral:rRNA from 1 species